CAGUCGCCACGGGAAUACGUAGGGGGCUAGCGUUGUCCGGAAUCACUGGGCGUAAAGGGUUCGCAGGCGGAAAUGCAAGUCAGAUGUAAAAGGCAGUAGCUUAACUACUGUAAGCAUUUGAAACUGCAUAUCUUGAGAAGAGUAGAGGUAAGUGGAAUUUUUAGUGUAGCGGUGAAAUGCGUAGAUAUUAAAAAGAAUACCGGUGGCGAAGGCGACUUACUGGGCUCAUUCUGACGCUGAGGAACGAAAGCGUGGGUAGCAAACAGGAUUAGAUACCCCGGUAGUCCCUGUCUCUUAUACA
rnacentral:rRNA from 1 species